UACGAAGGGGGCUAGCGUUGCUCGGAAUCACUGGGCGUAAAGGGUGCGUAGGCGGGUUUUAAGUCAGAGGUGAAAUCCUGGAGCUCAACUCCAGAACUGCCUUUGAUACUGGGAAUCUUGAGUAUGGAAGAGGUGAGUGGAACUGCGAGUGUAGAGGUGAAAAUUCGUAGAUAUUCGGAGGAACACCAGUGGCGAAGGCGGCUUACUGGUCCAUUACUGACGCUGAG
rnacentral:rRNA from 1 species